UGACCCCAGGUCAGGCGGCAUUACCCGCUGAUUUUAAGCAUAUCAAUAAGCGGAGGAAAAGAAACUUACUAGGAUUCCCCUAAUAACGGCGAGCAAACCGGGAACAACCCAGCCUUAGAAUCGGUCGUCUCUGUCGUCUGAAUUGUAGUUUGGAGAAGCGUUCUCAGCGGCGGAUCGGGCCCAAGUCCCCUAGAAGGGGGCGCCGAACAGGGUGAGAUCCCUGUCGUGACAGAACCCUAUCGCACCACGAGGCUCUGUCUACGAGUUGGGUUGUUUGGAAAUGCAGCCCAAAACGGGGGGUAAAUUCCGUCCAAGGCUAAAUACUUGUGAGAGAACGACAGCGAACAACUACCGCAAGGGAAAGAUGAAAAGGAAUUUAAAAGAGAGUCAAAGAGUGCUUUAAAUUAUCGGGAGGGAAGAGGAUGGGGGCCGACGAUGUGCCCUGAUCAGAUGUGGAAAGGUGACGAGCCGGUCCGCCGAUCGACUCGGGGCGUGGACAAACGUGGAUUGGUAGGGAGGCCAAAUCCUGGGCUCUCGAUACGACCAUGGAACCCCAUCUCCCCGAUUGUGGAAGGUAGCGCGCGCCUCCGGCGUGCUUCGGCAUCUCCCCGAUUGUGGGCUCCCCAUUCGACCCGUCUUGAAACACGGACCAAGGAAUCUGACAUAUGUGCGAGUCAACGGGCGAGUAAACCCGUAAGGCGUAAGGAAGCUGAUUGGUGGGAUCCCCCUGAGGGGUGCACCGCCGACCGACCUUGAUCUUCUCAGAAGGGUUCGAGUGUGAGCAUACCUGUCGGGACCCGAAAGAUGGUGAACUAUGCCUGAGCAGGGUGAAGCCAGAGGAAACUCUGGUGGAGGCCCGCAGCCAUACUGACGUGCAAAUCGAUCGUCUGACUUGGGUAUUGGGGCAAAAGACUAAUCGAACCGUCUAGUAGCUGGUUCCGUCCUAAGUUUCCCUGAGUAUAGGUGGAGCUCGCGUGCGAGUUCUAUCGGGUAAAGUCAAUGAUUAGAGGCCUCGAAGGUGCAAUGCCCUCAACCUAUUCUCAAACAUUAAAUAGGUAGGACGGUGCGACUUCUUUGUUGAGCCGCGCCACGGAAUCAAGAGCUUCAAGUGGGCCAUUUUUGGUAAGCAGAACUGGCGAUGCAGGAUGAAUCGGAAGCCAGGUUACAGUGCCAAACUGCGCUAACCUAGAUCCCACAAAGGGUGUUGGUCAAUUAAGACAGGAGGACGGUGGUCAUGGAAGUCAAAAUCCGCUAAGGAGUGUGUAACAACUCGCCUGCCGAAUCAACUAGCCCCGAAAAUGGAUAGAGCUUAAGCGCGCGAUCUACACCCGGUCGUCAGGGCAAGUGCCUGGACCCAAUGAGUAGGAGGGUGCAGCGGGUCAGCCGUCGUCGGGCGUGGCAUGCCAUCAUAGCCCUUGGAAAGCACACACGGUCAGACGACGUCGGGCGUGGCAUGCCAUCAUCGCCUUUGGACUAGAUGACACGGUCGGACGACAACGAGCGUCGCAUGCCAUCAUCGCCUUUGGACUAGCUGACAUGGUUGGGCGACGU
rfam:Solanum lycopersicum unplaced genomic scaffold SL2.40sc06748, whole genome shotgun sequence.